UGGUUAUUGCUUGAUGAAGUUCAUGAAGGACAUUAUCACUCAUGCCCCUACCACAUUAUCUAACAAGUACUUCGAGGACGUCUAUUGCGUUCAUUAUACGACUGCACAUGUAGAAGAGGUCCUUGAAGAGGUGGCCCAAUGUGUUUUCAAUAUGUGGGUAGCAACAAUAGUUAGGCCGGUACAAUAGUCAGUUACAUUUAUAUACACAUUUUUGGGCCAAUUUUUAUGGGAUAGGCCACUUAAUUUUGAAACAUUAGUUUGCAAAUAAGUUUAGAUUUUAAGGUUAAAUGUAUAGGAAUUUUUAUGUUAAUUAGAUAAGAAAUACUAUUACAAACAUU